AGAGAGCCUCGGCUAGCUGGGAUUCUGUCCCUGACCGUCUUCACAGUCCAGGUGAUCUUGACUACUGCUUUACAGAGAAUUGGAUCUGAGGUGUGGAAACAGGAAGAGAACUAGAACUGGAAGUAAAGCAUUGAAGAUGUGACUGAAUUGCUGCAAUCUCAUGAUCAAAUUUGAAUGGAUGAGGAGUUGCUUUUUAGGGAUGAGCAAAGAAAGUGGUUUCUCGAGAUGGAAUCUACUGGUUGCUCCUUGAGGGCAGGACAGUUCUUAUGGCUUUAUCCGUUGCGUAAGCACAGAGAGGUCUGCGAGGUCAAAACUAUUGUCAUGAUAGCAAGAUGCCUGUCUUUUUCAUUUAUUCUCACGGUGUGCAGAGGCUACAUGAUGUGUGAUGACAUCCUCAUUGAUGUUAAUGAAUGGUGCUAUACUUGAAUUUUCUAAGGUGUCAUUAGCAAUUCUCCUGCCUCAGCCUCCUGCAUAACUGGGACUACAGGGAAGCACCAUUUUCCACAAAACUCUCAAGAAGGACUUGUUGCAACUGGAAAAGCAAUUAAAUGUGAAUCGUGAUCCAGGAGAAAGUAACAACUCACAUAACUCCCAAAUUAAAAGUUUUCCAAAGAUAUAUCA
rnacentral:lncRNA from 1 species